CCCUUAGAUGUUCUGGGCCGCACGCGCGCUACACUGACGAAUGCAACGAGCUUAUAAUAACCUUGGCCGAAAGGUCUGGGUAAUCUCCAAAUUUCGUCGUGAUGGGGAUAGAUUAUUGCAAUUAUUAAUCUUCAACGAGGAAUACCUUGUAAGCGCGGGUCAUCAUCCCGCGCUGAAUACGUCCCUGCCCUUUGUACACACCGCCCGUCGCUCCUACCGAUUGAGUGGUCCGGUGAGGCUUUGGGAUCUGAGCGGAAAGAGCGUUUCGCUGUUUCUGCUCGGAAAACUCAGUCGAACCUUAUCAUUUAGAGGAAGGAGAAGUCGUAACA
rnacentral:rRNA from 1 species